GGUGUUUGUUGAGAUUUUUAGUACUUUUAAAGGGUAAUCAAAUCGUGCAGUUGGUUGCACAAUCCAUAGACUGGAUGCACAAAGCUGUGUGACGUACUUCCGGUUUCUAGAUAGUCUAGCGGUUAAACUCCCGCGCUAACAAACAAGAGAUUGCCGGUUCAAACCCAACUCAGGGCUUAGUUGUUUGUUUCUUUUUUUUUAAUCCCAAAACUGUUCUAUUCAGGUAAAUCAUUUUUUUAAAGAAUAUACAAGGGCAAUAAAUGACAAAAUAUCGAUGUGGGGGGUGUUUGUUUUGAUUUUGGCACUUUUAAAAGGUAAUCAAAUAGUACAGUUGGUUGCUCAAUCCAUAGACUGGAUGCACAAAGCUGUGUGACGUACUUCCGGUUUCUAGAUAGUCUAGCGGUUAAACUCCCGCGCUAACAAACAAGAGAUUGCCGGUUCAAACCCAACUCGGGGCUUAUUUGUUUGUUUCUUUUUUUUUUAAUCCCAAAACUGUUCAAUUCAGGUAAAUAAUUUUUUUAAAGAAUAUACAAGGGCAAUAAAUGACAAAAUAGCAAUGUGGGGGGUGUUUGUUUUGAUUUUGGCACUUUUAAAAGGUAAUCAACUAGUACAGUUGGUUGCUUGAUCCAUGCACUGUAUGCACAAAGCUGUGUGAUGUACUUCCGGUUUCUAGCUAGCCUAGCGGUUAAACUCCCGUGCUUACAAUCAAGAGGUCGCUGGUUCAAACCCAACUCGGUGCUUAUUUAUUUGUUUCUUUUUUUUUUUUUUUUAGCCCAAAACUGUUCAUUUCAGUGAUUUAUGCCUCAUCGUGCAGUUUUUAAUCAUUCUCUGAUUGCUGGAGAGGAAGAAUCAGCAGGACUCUGAUUCCUAAGAACUGUUUGCAGCUUCAAAAAUCAACAGGAAGUGUGUUCUGUCUGCCUCCAAACAAUGACUGUGUGGUUUCCAUCCCACACGCAUCAGCCCACUGACACCUCUCACUGAAGAGCCACAGAUCUGUGUCAAGGAUGCAGCAUCGAUGUGGAGAACGAACAAAUCUCCAAACUUCAGGAAUAAAAAUUAUAGAAAAGAAUAAA